rnacentral:lncRNA from 1 species
ACUGCACUCAGUCAGUGACGGCACAAAAUCUGGGUCCGCCCCACAGACAUAGCAUUUGGCUAACUACUACUCGUUUCUCUAUCUUUUCUUUUUUCUCCAUCAGCGUGACCCUCGUGAGUCGUGAACUCGUGACUUCACUAACUCGUUUUUCACACUAUAAAUACUAAAACCGACUCAGCGGUUAUACUUUCUUUCUCUUUUCUCUCUUCUCUCUUCUUCCAUUUUCUACAUUCUCGCGAUUCUU